GAUGAACGCUGGCGGCGUGCCUAAUACAUGCAAGUCGAGCGAACAGACGAGGAGCUUGCUCCCCUGACGUUAGCGGCGGACGGGUGAGUAACACGUGGAUAACCUACCUAUCAGACUGGGAUAACUUCGGGAAACCGGAGCUAAUACCGGAUAAUAUAUUGAACCGCAUGGUUCAAUAGUGAAAGACGGUUUUGCUUUCACUUAUAGAUGGAUCCGCACCUCAUUAGCUAGUUGGUAAGGUAACGGCUUACCAAGGCAACGAUGCGUAGCCGACCUGAGAGGGAGAUCGGCCACACUGGAACUGAGACACGGUCCAGACUCCUACGGGAGGCAGCAGUAGGGAAUCUUACGCAAUGGGCGAAAGCCUGACGGAGCAACGCCGCGUGAGUGAUGAAGGUCUUCGGAUCGUAAAACUCUGUUAUUAGGGAAGAACAAAUGUGUAAGUAACUAUGCACGUAUUGACGGUACCUAAUCAGAAAGCCACGGCUAACUACGUG
rnacentral:rRNA from 1 species